GUCAUAGCAUGCGCGAAAGCGGACGCGCAUAGACAAGGAGUAUGAGCCGAGCUCAUCAAAUUCUUUGGUAAACGUCAUAUAAUGAUGUUAGUAUAUUAAAGAACCUUGGUAUUUGCCAAUUGGAAUACGAGAAGUACCCUAUGAGUAGUUGCUGGUGUCAGACCUGCCAGUUGGUAUCUACUUUCUUUCUCAAAAUAUGCUGCCUUAAUUGGAUCAAUGAGAAAAAAGAACUGUAAAUCACAGUGCAGGUAGAAGCUGGGCCAGCACCUCUGAAGUACCAUAGGUGAUUGAGGUAAUGCUGAAACCUAGUUAACUGUUAAGCUUUGUAACCAAAUUUUGAGGAAGAACACCCUGAGGGGAGACAGUCCAAAGAUCUUUCAUCCCCCUGCCCUCGCCACCAAACCUUUCAGGAUGACUUUUAGAUUGUCAUGUAUUUUCAGAGCCCCUUACUGCACAGGCAAGAUAUGUUUACAAAAUCAAUCCUUCUCCAGGAUUUGAACUCAGAUCCGUUAGUGUCCCUAACCACAAUAUCGGUGGCUCUUUGUUUACACAAUAAAUGUUAGAGUAUUGGAAAAUUUCCAUCACAAUGGA
rnacentral:misc_RNA from 1 species